rnacentral:lncRNA from 1 species
CUAAAUAGAAUAAAGAGGGAAAAAACAAACCCUACAUAACACGUAACUAUUAAAAAACAUAGAAAAAUAGAUAACAUAAAUAGAAAAAUCAACCUAGAAAUAACUUAACCAGUACUAGUUGUAUUUUACGAGUUAUUCAUUGAAAUCGUAGACAAAUUGUUUGAAAAUGUUUUAAAUAUGACGUAUGGGUUAUUCAUAUUUGAUUUUUAUAUAUAUACAAGAUAAAGACACACUAAAUAGAAUAAAGAGGGAAAAAAAAACCCUACAUAACACAUAACUAUUAAAAACCACAGAAAAAUAGAUAACAUAAAUAGAAAAAUCAACCUAGAAAUAACUUAACCAGUACUAGUUGUAAUUUACGAGUUAUUCAUUUAAAUCGUAGACAAAUUGUUUGAAAAUGUUUUAAUAUGACGUAUGGGUUAUUCAUAUUUGAUUCUUAUAUAUAUGUUUAUAUAUAUACAAGAUAACGUCACACUAAAUAGAAUAAAGACGGAAAAAACAAACCCUACAUAACACGUAACUAUUAAAAAACAUAGAAAAAUAGAUAACAUAAAUAGACAAAUCAACCUAGAAAUAACUUAACUACUUCUAGUUGUAUUUUACGAGUUAUUCAUUGAAAUCGUAGACAAAUUGUUUAAAAAUGUUUUAAAUAUGACGUAUGGGUUAUUCAUAUUUGAUUCUUAUAUAUAUGUUUAUAUAUAUACAAGAUAACGACACACUAAAUAGAAUAAAGAGGGAAAAAACAAACCCUACAUAACACAUAACUAUUAAAAAACACAGAAAAAGAGAUACCAUAAAUAGAAAAAUCAUCCUAAAAAUAACUUAACUAGUUAUAGUUGUAUUUUACGAGUUAUUCAUUGAAAUCGUACACAAAUUGUUUAAAAAUGUUUUAAAUAUGAUCUAUUGGUUAUUCAUAUUUCAUUCUUAUAUAUACGUUUAUAUAUAUAUACAAGAUAACGACACACUAAAUAGAAUAAAGAGGGAAAAAACAAACCCUACAUGACACGUAACUAUUAAAAAACACAGAAAAAUAGAUAACAUAAAUAGAUAAAUCAACCUAGAAAUAACUUAACUACUUCUAGUUGUAUUUUACGAGUUAUUCAUUGAAAUCGUAGACAAAUUAUUUGAAAAUGUUUUAAAUAUGACGUAUGGGUUAUUCAUAUUUGAUUCUUAUAUAUAUUUUUAUAUAUAUACAAGAUAACGACACACUAAAUAGAAUAAAGAGGGAAAAAACAAACCCUACAUAACAUGUAACUAUUAAAAAACAUAGAAAAAUAGAUAACAUAAAUAGAAAAAUCAACCUAGAAAUAACUUAAC